ACUGCGAGCUGCCAGCUUCUCUUGUCCUUCGUCAUUGACUUUCAUCAUCCAAUUUCAUCGCUAACUCAGCGGAGCAUCGCCAAGCGGACGAUGUGGCACCAGUAACACGUGUCAAAACAUUGCAGGUCAAGGUGAGAAGAUGGCGAGCUCGGCAGGUGACUUGGAUGGUGAGUCGAGUUCACUGUCAGUGCUGACCGUCAGCGCACAGGACGCGGUGUCUGCAGGGGAUGCUGUGCACCCUGCACGCAUGUCCAGAGCUGGGUACAUGGUAGUGGGCGCCACCCUGACCCUCACCUGGGUGCUGGGCACCUUGGGAAACGCCACGUGUCUGGCGGUGUUCACCCUGCACAAGCGCCUGAGGUCGCCCACCAACAUGUUUGUCAUGUCACUAAACACUAGCGACCUGCUCAUGUCCAGUGUCGCCUGCUUCUUCUGCCUGUCGUCCGCCUGGCGGGGCGGCUGGCUGUACGGACACGCGGGCUGCACCUUCGAGGGCUUCUUGGUCUACCUGCUGGGCAUGACCUCCAUGUACUCACUGGCCGCCAUUUCCCUUGACCGCUACAUCGUCAUCGCUAAGCCGCUGCUAGGCCCUCGCAUCACCCCCCGUGUGGCGGGUGGCAGCAUCGCUCUGUGCUGGCUGGGGGGGUUCCUGUGGGCAGCGCUGCCCUUGGUGGGGUGGAACGAGUACAGGCUGGAGGGUGGGGGCAUUUCGUGCAGCGUGGUGUGGGAGAGCACUAGCACCCUCUACACCAGCUACAUCUGGGCCAUCUUCUUCUUCUGUUUCCUCCUCCCCGUCGGCGUCAUGUUCUUCUCCUACUACCACAUCUUUAUGACGAUUCGGGUAGUCUCCAGAAACCAGACGUGGGACAAGAACAGCCGCAUCGCACGAAGGAACCAGAAGGUAGAGAAGAAAAUGGCUAAAACCAUCGCCGCUAUGCUAGGUGCAUACCUUGGAUGCUGGAUGCCAUACACGGUCUUCUCAUUUGCCGUCUGUUUCCUUGGGUCGGGGAGCAUCUCUGCGGAGUUAGCUACAUACCCCGCUAUCAUCGCCAAGAGUCAGGGAGUACUCAACCCCAUCAUUUAUGUGGCCAGCAACAAGCAGUUCCGACAGGCUUUCUAUGAACUCUUGCCCUGUCUGGGUCUGCGCCGAGCUUUAGUCAAGCAAAUCGAGAAGGAGGGGGAGUCGGAGGAGUCAGAUGUGGAUGAGGACACCGCGGGCCCCACCACAAGGGCAGAGCGAGCAGGCAAGAACAAGGGAGGUAAGCAGCCACAGAGUAAGCAGAAGGCUUCCUGCAUGGCCGUCCACCCGACACCCGGCAACCGACACCCGACACCUGACGUGGACAACCAGCCAAGCGAGACCGUCGUGGAGGACAUCUUCCUGGUCAGCGACGCCGGAAGUCAAGGUCACGUGGAAGAGAUAGAGCUCAAGGACAAAGGUUGUGUGGUGACCGGAGGCUGUGACCUGGGGUCAGCACCACAGUGAGGUGUCUGUAAAACUGAUGUUUUGUUGGCAUCUUGGCUGUCCCUUGGCUGUCCCUUGGCUAGCAGUCAACUGGCCUUUGGUAGUCUUAUGGAGGUCGUCUCUUGACUGGUCAUUGUAAGCAAAUUGUCUUGCUGGUAGUUUGUAGGUUUACUAGUAUUUGAAGGUUUGCUAGUAGUUUGUAGGUUUACUAGCAAUUUGUAGCUUUACUAGUAUUUGAAGAUUUGCUAGUAGUUUGAAGGUUUGCUAGCAGUUUGUAGGUUUGCUAGUAUUUGUAGGUUUACUAGUAGUAGAUAGAAAUCUGGUCGCAUUUUGAUGAACGCAUUCAUCAGACUGGCUGUUCUGUGUGAGUGUGUGUGGGUAGGGAUGUAACUGUUUUAUUCUGUGUGGGAGAUGGUAUUUAUUUUUAUGUUGUUUAUAAUGUUUGUAUGGUUCUAUUCUUACUGUUAUUUGCCUUCAAUAUCUGCACGGUUUUUUUGGUAUUAGUACAUAAUUUAGAAAUGCAAUUAUUGAGUGUUUUUCUUGUCUCAUGCAGUCGUUAUUGUAUUUAGGAAUGUUUUUCUCACUCGUCUCAGUAUUUAUCGUAAACUAAGUAAAUAUAGUUCUUCUACCACUCCACUUGAAUUGUUUUACGAAUGAUGGCACUGCUUGUUAUCUCCAGGUGGUUUUUGAAAUGGUGUAUCACUUAUAACCUCCUAUCGUAUUUCCCUCAUGUUCCUCAUUUUCUCCACCUAUUAACUUUUUUAUAGGUAGCUUCUUAGUUUUUAGGAACUUAACUAAGGAAGAUUACUCUAGCUUUUGCAAGUUGAAUAUUGAGCAAACAUCCUUGUUGUGAUGUGAUAGGCCAUUAUGUUAGAACACUCCACGUCGACUACUACUACUCUUACCCCGGAGAAAAAUCGCAAGUCAUUAAAAUUGUAGUCUGCCUGCUCAAGUUGUGAUUUCAAAUGCGGUGAAAGCAUGCCACAAUCUUUUCUCGAAGACAAAGAAUGUCAAGGUGCGGUGAGAUGACCAGAAGUACAUGUGGUAACAUGAUGAAAGUACAACUAUUACAAUAUUACAACUAUUGUGACUGUAAUCACGACUACGCCAUGUCAGAGCAGUCUCAGGUUAUCUGCGAUGUUACUUGCCAGAAGAUGGUCAUGCUAAUGUCCCCAUUGAAAAACUUCAUAAUCUCGAAAUUAUCAAUGAUAUUUAAACAGAAUGAAAAUUUCAUUUAAUGUCUAGUGUCUUUUUAUGGGAGGUAAUCAGACAUUCUCAUACGUUCGGUCGAUAGAGUUGUUUCUCUUUGAUCACACAUUACACUUAAAUCUUGUGGAAACCACA
rnacentral:misc_RNA from 1 species